rnacentral:rRNA from 1 species
AAACUAACAAGGAUUCCCCUAGUAACUGCGAGUGAAGCGGGAUGAGCUCAAAUUUAAAAUCUGGCGUCUUCGGCGUCCGAGUUGUAAUUUAGAGAAGUGUUUUCCGCGCCGGACCGUGUACAAGUCUCCUGGAACGGAGCGUCAUAGAGGGUGAGAAUCCCGUCUUUGACACGGACCCCCGGUGCUCUGUGAUACGCUCUCGAAGAGUCGAGUUGUUUGGGAAUGCAGCUCAAAAUGGGUGGUGAACUCCAUCUAAAGCUAAAUAUUGGCGAGAGACCGAUAGCGAACAAGUACCGUGAGGGAAAGAUGAAAAGCACUUUGGAAAGAGAGUGAAACAGUACGUGAAAUUGUUGAAAGGGAAACGCUUGAAGUCAGUCGCGUCCGCCGGGAUUCAGCCUUCGGGUGUACUUUCCGGUGGACGGGCCAGCAUCACUUUCAAUCAUCGGACAAGGUCGAGAGGAAUGUGGCACCUUCGGGUGUGUUAUAGCCUCUUGUCGUAUACGGUGACUGGGAGUGAGGACCGCCUUUGUAGGAUGCUGGCGUAAUGGCUUUAACGAC